rnacentral:rRNA from 1 species
GACGAACCUUGCAAACGUUAUUCGGAAUCACUGGGCUUAAAGGGUGCGUAGGCUGUGCAGAAAGUUGGGUGUGAAAUACCUCGGCUUAACCGAGGAAUUGCGCCCAAAACUACUGUGCUCGAGGAAGAUAGAGGUGAGCGGAACUUAGGGUGGAGCGGUGAAAUGCGUUGAUAUCCUAAGGAACACCGGUGGCGAAAGCGGCUCACUGGAUCUUAUCUGACGCUGAGGCGCGAAAGCCAGGGGAGCAAACGGG